GACGAACCGUGCGAACGUUGUUCGGAAUCACUGGGCUUAAAGGGCGCGUAGGCGGGCCAUCAAGUCCGGGGUGAAAUCCUUCGGCUUAACCGGAGAAUUGCCUUGGAUACUGGUGGUCUUGAGGGAGGUAGGGGCACGCGGAACUUCCGGUGGAGCGGUGAAAUGCGUUGAUAUCGGAAGGAACGCCGGUGGCGAAGGCGGGUCUCUGGGCCGUAACUGACGCUGAGGAGCGAAAGCAUGGGGAGCGAACAGG
rnacentral:rRNA from 1 species